CUCUCUGUAGCUCAGUUGGUUAGACCGCUGCACCAGAAUCGCAGGUUCAAUCCCUGCCUGAGAGC
rnacentral:tRNA from 1 species